rnacentral:rRNA from 1 species
GACGAACGCUGGCGGCGUGCUUAACACAUGCAAGUCGAACGAAGUGGCGAACGGGUGAGUAACGCGUAAUUAACCUGCCCUUCAGAGGGGGACCACAGUUGGAACCGACUGCUAAUACCGCAUACUGACGGCGGGGAUUGCGUCUGAUUAGAUAGUUGGAGGGGUAACGGCCAACCAAGGCGAUGAUCAGUAGCCGGUUUGAGAGGAGGAAUGGCAACAGUGGGACUGAGACACGGCCCAGACUCCUACGGGAGGCAGCAGUGGGGAAUCUGCCGCAAUGGACGAAAGUCUGACGGAGCAACGCCGCGUGAGUGAUGACGGCCUUCGGGUGGUAAAGCUCUGUUAAGCGGGACGCGGUACCGGAAUAGAAAGCCACGGCUAACUACGUGCCAGCCGCCGCGGUAAUUC